UUGAACGCUGGCGGCAGGCCUAACACAUGCAAGUCGAACGGUAACAGGAAGCAGCUUGCUGCUUUGCUGACGAGUGGCGGACGGGUGAGUAAUGUCUGGGAAACUACCUGAUGGAGGGGGAUAACUACUGGAAACGGUAGCUAAUACCGCAUAACGUCGCAAGACCAAAGAGGGGGACCUUCGGGCCUCUUGCCAUCGGAUGUGCCCAGAUGGGAUUAGCUAGUAGGUGGGGUAACGGCUCACCUAGGCGACGAUCCCUAGCUGGUCUGAGAGGAUGACCAGCCACACUGGAACUGAGACACGAUCCAGACUCCUACGGGAGGCAGCAGUGGGGAAUAUUGCACAAUGGGCGCAAGCCUGAUGCAGCCAUGCCGCGUGUAUGAAGAAGGCCUUCGGGUUGUAAAGUACUUUCAGCGGGGAGGAAGGGAGUAAAGUUAAUACCUUUGCUCAUUGACGUUACCCGCAGAAGAAGCACCGGCUAACUCCGUG
rnacentral:rRNA from 1 species